rnacentral:lncRNA from 11 species
UAGGUCAGCGCGAUGUCCAGUUGUUGGAGUGCCGGACCUGCGCGUUCCGCUCGUAUUCGGAUCAUAUGGCAGAGACUGGAAGCCGAUUGGAGCAGCCAGUUUCGUCGGGGCGGGUUCUAAGCCGGUUUAGGGGCAGUUUACGCGCGGAACCACCCUCCUCUUCUGACCAUGGAGGCCUGACCCGAGGUCAGGUGGCUUCCCCGAACGCGAUUUCGUCGUUUUCAACGCGUUUGGCGCGUGGCACACGCGUGCUGUCGAGAUCACGUUUUCUUCGAGAAGAACGAGAUCCUCUUAGUUUGAUUAAUUUCGAUUCCAGCUCCAGCCGGAGUAGAUUUAAACGAGUGAUUUGCCAGACUUCUCUACCGAUCCACUCAUCCUUCCAAGCGGAAGAAGAAGAAGAAGAAGAGAAAGAAGACGGAAGAAGGAGACAGGCAGAUUAAAACCACGAAGGAAGGAGAAAGAGAGAAAAGGAGAAGCGCGACAAACAGACGAGAGAGAACGGGUUGGUGGAGAGCGAGCUAGGAAGACGGCUCGCCUGGCUUUAUUAAAAUAUAAUGGCGUUAUCAGCCGAGAAGAGAACGAAGGGAGAGGCGUCAGCUUUAAGAGGGAAGUUUUCUUAAGUGUUCUUAAUUAGAAGGGACCUGUUGCUUCGGAAAAAACCGGGUCACGGCCGACGACGCCCUCCCCCCCUCUGUUCCUCCUACGCGACGCCCCCUCAGACGCUGCAGACUCGGCCGCCGCAGCACCAGACUCGGGCGACGCGUGCGGCAGAAAGCGACGAGCAGAACGCGUCGGGGAGGUUGAAGAAGGGAAUUCUCUGAGGGUUGGAGAUGACGUUUAACGGAUAAGGAUGGUCGCGGAACGAAGCCAGCAUCCAGGUCUAAGGAGCCACGAGGAUUCAUUAGAGGGAGGGAGGAAGGAAGGUGUUCAUCGAACCCCCAUAGGACGCAUCGAAUCGUAUUUACGAACGCCUUCCACAAUUUUCCUUUUAACCCACUUCGCUUGGCGAG